rnacentral:lncRNA from 1 species
UCAGAAAGUCCUGCCAGAACUCUUUGCUGUACCCCUCCACUGCUCUGCUUUGUGUAAAUCCUGCUUGCUAUAUUCCCAGGGAAACUCCAAUGGAAUUAAGCCUCAGAGAUGUAAAAAGAGUGGUUAACUACAGUGAAACAGAAGACAUUUCCAGACAAUAAAUCUGUCAUAUGUCCUUAAGGUUUAUCCACCUGCAUAUGAAUAACUGUGAUGAACAUGGAAGAACUGAAGCAGAAGGAGAAAGGAAGGAGAAGGGUCAGGUACGGCUCUUGUGGACAAUGAAGGCAUUGAGAGUCAGCAGUCCUGAGACUUAGAGCUCCAACUGGAUGCCAAAUCCUAGAGAAACAAGAGCUGAUCACUUGCCACGAUGGUGCAGGGAGCUGUGGUCUCAACCCUUGGAAACAUCAUCAAAAUAAGCUGUUUG